rnacentral:rRNA from 1 species
GAUGAACGCUAGCGGGAGGCCUAACACAUGCAAGCCGAGCGGUAUUGUUUCUUCGGAAAUGAGAGAGCGGCGUACGGGUGCGUAACACGUGUGCAACCUGCCUUUAUCUGGGGGAUAGCCUUUCGAAAGGAAGAUUAAUACUCCAUAAUAUAUUGAACGGCAUCGUUUAAUAUUGAAAGCUCCGGCGGAUAGAGAUGGGCACGCGCAAGAUUAGCUAGUUGGUGAGGUAACGGCUCACCAAGGCGAUGAUCUUUAGGGGGCCUGAGAGGGUGAUCCCCCACACUGGUACUGAGACACGGACCAGACUCCUACGGGAGGCAGCAGUGAGGAAUAUUGGUCAAUGGGUACAAGCCUGAACCAGCCAUCCCGCGUGAAGGACGACUGCCCUAUGGGUUGUAAACUUCUUUUGUAUAGGGAUAAACCUACCCUCGAGAGGGUAGCUGAAGGUACUAUACGAAUAAGCACCGGCUAACUCCGUG